AUUUAUGUAGGAUGGGGCUCCUCUAAUUUAUGGUUGUCUAACUUGAAUAGUCAAAUGUUAUGUCCAAAAGUCAGUGGUAUCUCCUAUAGCUUAUUUUACAGUCUCACAUUGCAGAUUAAUUUCCCGGCAAAAACAUUGCAGAUUAAUUAGACACCAAAUUAAGUGGUUGCAGAUUCUUUUUCUUUUACUUCUCUCUAUGAAAAAAAGGAGCAGUAAAUCUAGCUAGGUAGCGAGGUAUUCUCUUCUCUUCCUUCGAGGCUAAGUCCAAAGAGAUCUUCUGGCUCUCUGAAGCCUGAAUCUGCUAAGCUUUGUCCAUUGUCGAGUGUCCACUCGAUCACUUUUCCCCCUUUUUCUCACCAUUUCUCGUCUCAUCUUAGCAAUGCAGAUAUGCAACAACUGCAAUCACAAGAGAAUCAUUGCCUUCAGACCUUUGCACUGCAUCAAAGUAUCAAACUAUCUACCUGUUGAGGAAAAAGGUAAACACCUCACUAUAUAUAUAGAUAGUAGAUGCAUCAUGCGUUUCAGAUGUGGCAAGUUAAUUAAAUUGUUCUUUAAUCCAAAUCUGCAGCCCAAUCCCUUCACCACAUAUGUGUAUCUUAAAAUUUUCUGGAUAGUAUUAGAUGCUAACUUAAUUGAAGACUGUAGCAAAUCAUCAAGGCAAUUAUUGUCAGAAUCAAGAGCUCAAAACAAGCAUAACCUGACAAAACUGAGUUUGAUAACCAAAAAGAACAUCACUAUCCCAAACCCUUGUGUUUUCCAUCAAUCAUCUAUCAAACAAUAAUAUCAUGACUAGAGCCAGCUACUGAAUGUGUUUGAUUCCGGCACCUUGCGUGAUCUCUGUCUACCAAGCAUUACAACAUUCCUUCAUAUCAAAACCCAGAGAAAAGCAACCAAAAAGCGAAGAAAAAAGCAAGCAAGCAAAGCAUCUAAGUAAACCAAACCACCAUUAUUAUUCAAGUCACUGGAAAAUUAAAAGAAAUAUUCGCGUGUAACGGCGCCACAUUUGUCAUUUGAACAAAUCCUAAUCGCCUUGACCUGAUUGGCCAUGGCAUCCUGAUGAAAAGGACCAAAAGGUAAGAGCAGAGAGGAAGAAAAAGCAAUAUGCAUAAGAUGGGGCUCUUUUUAUUUGCCACUGAUGCUAUGGCAACUCAACUAGGGCCCUUCUUUACUUGCAAAGUGAUACCAGUAUGAUAUGGCUAUAAAGCUUAUAUUGCUUGAUGCACUUGUGAAGAAACUAAAGGCAUUUGCAUGCCUUCUCCUCCUUGCUUAUCCUUUGCAAGCCCAAGAAUCUCCCAAUUUCAUUUUUUUUUCCUUCAUGGUUAAGCAUCAGGAUAGAGGGCUAAGGCAUCCACACAAGCCAACAAUCACACACCAUAAUUCCAGUGCUUUAUAUUGCAGAAUCAAUACCCAAGAAGCAGAUGAAAUGGAUGUUUUAUUCUUAUUCCAUGAAACAGCAGCAGGAGAACCAGUAUUAAGUGGAACUGAAAAAGAGGACAUGAGUUCUGGCCAUAUCAUGACAGUAUCCUUGUUUGGUGUUCAACACCUCUAGUGACCCUAGCUCUGCUGUGCUUAAAUUCUUUAAUAAACUGUUGGGCUACAGAAAAGGCUUCAAAAAUAAUGCAGCAAAUAUUUUAGUUCUUAUGUUGGAUAUUUAAAAAGCAAAGAAAUAAAGCGGUGAGGCGGAUUACGCGGAAAUGAAUUGAAAUCAUACACAUGUAAGGAUGGAAUUAUAUUGCAAAAAGCUAAAGUUUGAAAGAUUAACAAUGAAUAAGAGAGGGGGAAAAAAAAGAGGAGGCUUAACUAGAUUUCCAAAACAAUCACGGCAGCAGCAUUAUUAAAGACAAGCAGGCCACAAAGCAAGCAAAGGUAGAGCAUUAGAAUACACACCAGCACUCCCCUUGCAGGGACACAUGCACAGUCAUCAGGAUGAAAAGCUAGUCGAUCCAUGGUGACAAGAAAAGCUGCUUGCUUGCUUGCACCAGAGCAAGAAGAUCACCUCACCUCACCAAUUUCAGUCACUGGUACAAGUGAGCAGCAAUCUCAGCAAGAACAGCAUAGAUACAUAUAUAUACUUACAUCCUAAGAUAGAUCCAUCAUCUCAUAUAAUAAUCCAAGGCGGGCAGUGCAGUGAACACAGGAAGCUAGGUGUAGUUGUGAAGAUUCAUCAGGAGGAGGAGCAAGAAGUUGUUGAUUGAUUCAGGAGGAAGAAGAAGAAGAUUAGUGAAGAAGAUGUAUCCUUACCGAUUCAGCAACGUGAUGAUCGGGUACCUGAACCUGGCGACGCUGCUGGCGUCGAUCCCGGUGAUCGGCGCGGGGCUGUGGAUGGCGAAGGGGUCG
rnacentral:lncRNA from 1 species